AGUUUGAAAGUAGCACCGGUAACGGAGAAGAUGAGGAGUAGUAGGUUAGCAUGGUAUGGGCAUGUAAUGAGGAGGGAUAAAUGCCAUAUAGGCAAAAGAAUGUUAGGGAUGAAUGUUGAUGGACAGAGAGCGGAUGGAAGACCCAAAAAACGAUGGAUGGAUUGUGUGAAAGAGGAUAUGAGAAAGAAAGGAGCGAGUGCUGAGGUGACGCAAGAUAGAGGAGAAUGGAAGAGAAAAACAUGUUGUGCCGACCCCACAUAACGCGGGAUAAGGACAGGAGGAAGAAGUAGAU